ensembl:lncRNA
AUUUAUGCUUGUGGUGUCUUCAUGUGCAAGCACUGAUCAGGUCCAGGUCUUCUUAGCAUGUGACUUUAGAGAAAGCAAGCUGCUUUCAGCCCUGAGUGACAGAAGAUCAAGAACAGUGGAGACCGUAUUGCUCUCUAGAACUCUCAGAAAGGAGGUUGUAGAGAAGUGAGGGUCGGCCUCUUCUCCCAGCAACCUCACAAUAUGGACAACAUUUUCCAUUAUACUCCUUGGACCUUCAGUCCCACCAAGCUCACAUUCAUCCAGUGAGACAAGUGAAAGCAAUGCUUGGCAAGGGGAAGAAAGGAGCCUGAAACAAUUAAACCAGAACACAGAUAGCAUCUGACAGCUCAGAAAGAAUCAGAAUUUUUCUUUAAUGAAAAAAAACUCCCCCAAAAAUGAAAGAAAAAAAGAAAAAAGAAAAAAGAGAAAAUUCGUUAAAUUCAGGACUUUGAAAAUAUUUACUUUGGACUAGAAGUACCAAGAUAAGUCCUUUCCAGAGUCACACUUAAGGUGGGGGACAACUAUUCUGGAAAAUGCUAAUAUUUCAUUUGGGUUUUGACUUAUUUGGGAAGAAAAUAGCAGCAUUUGUCCCAGUCUACGCUUGUUUCAACUGCAGCGCUGUAAUGAAACCCCACAUCCAGCAUCCUUGGCACCUUCUAGGAGCUGAGCCAGCCAUAUCUUUCACUGGAAACACAUUUCCCCAUGCCCAGGCUUUCUGGAAGUGGGUUUGUGUCCCCGCAGAACAACAACAACAACAAAAAAGUGGGUUAAGAAAAGGACUGUAAGAAAUGUAGGAAGAAGAUCUUUGCACAGCUCCCAAAGCCAAAAGAGGAAAUGGAUCAUAUGAGAGACAUGAGUCACAUGCUGUCCCUAUCUCUACCUUGGAGGGACGAAGUGCAGCAUCGCAGUUUGCAGUGCAUUCUACUGGAAAUAAUCCCUGCUGGACAAAAGGCUCUGUUGGAAGCAACUGCAACUUCCAAAUGCCAGGAUUUGGAAGCCUGCAAAGAAUGACAGUCACAGGAAUUGGUAUUUAAACAGGAAAAACAGUGCCAAGCGCUAUAUUUGGGCAUGGUUAUUGCCAUGUUUGUUAUUGUUAUCACCACUGGAAUUACAGUCCUGGUUGGAGACAGUGCCUGAGAUCAGGUCUCCUUUUAGCAAGGGUUGUCCGCAAAUAUUGCAAGAGGCUGUCCCUUCUCCCCAGACAUAAAUAAAUAAAACUGUUAAAAAAUAUUCCUUUUUAACGACAACAAGGUUGCCCUGCGUGUAUAAGCAAAGCUGGGCUCAGAGUAUGCAGAAAAGCUAUGCCAAGCUCAGCUCAAGUCAUAGAAUCAUAGAAUGGUCUGGGUUGAAAAGGACCUCAAAGAUCAUCUAGUUUCAACCCCUCUGCCACGGGCAGGGUCACCAACCACCAGACCAGGCUGCCCAGCCUGGUUAUCUGAGAGGUGAGAAGUUUUUAUCUCCUAGCAAACAAAGGGAAGAAGGAAUAUUGUUAUCUGCUCUGAGGCACAGUGAGAUGAAGUAACUUGCCCCCAAACCUAAAAGACCUCCUAAAACUCAGCUCUCCUUGUUCAAAAAAACUAGUUUCUUCCAAGUGGAAGAAGAUCAGUGGUAGGAAGGACUGAAUACAAAGGCCAGUGCUUGGAUCCCCUGACCCAGGAGAAACCACUGGAUUAUCAUCUCUUUAAAUCAAGCUUUUAAGGCAAGACCCAUUAAGGUCACUUGCUUGACCUGACCUUCUGUGUCAUCUUUUCCGCCCCACAGCUUCCCAGCAGUUUUCUCCAUCUGCUGCUUCACAAGGACACAUAACUCUCAUGGGCCUGCGUUGCAUCUGCCAGCCCUAUCUGGAAAGACCAGAAGUGACAUCAGAAACUUCUGUUCUAACAACAGACCCUUCCCUAUGCACAGAUGUCCCCAUGUGAGAAGGACAAUUGACUUCAUGUUAAAGUCAGUGGAAACCUAGGGCUGUAGUAACAGGCAUGCUUGGAGAUGUCUGGAACCAGCUGAGAUGCUUUUUGGCUAUCUGGAUUAUCAGGACAUCAUGGAUCUAAAAGACAUAGGAUCUUCAAGAGAUGUGUUUCUCUCCGGGGUGGCUGCUGGAGGCUGGGGAGGUACUGUUUAACCUCACAUAUGAUAACAGGCAGCUUUGCUGGGAAACUGAAUCCUGUCCCUUACCUCUGAGGAAAAUCCCAACUAUCCAGUGUACCCUUUCCUCAUGGGUUUUUAAAUAUUUUAUGUUCUUUCAUACUUUGAGUUUUGCUAAAAUGAAUAUUUAGGCUCAUC